rnacentral:tRNA from 1 species
CUGGCCCAGCAGGAUUCGAACCUGCAACCUAGUCCUUAACAGGGACUUGCACUGCCAGUUGUGCUAUGGGCCA